GACGGUGGUGAACCUGGGGUUCCUUCGCAAGAAACCAAAACACCUGAUCUAUGCUCGGCUAAAAUUUUCUUGUUGAGAUAAACUUAAAAAGAUAACUAUAUCAUUAAAAAAAAACUUCAUGCACACAAAAAAAGAACUUUGUAAAAGCUAUCACACAUUUAGCGUCGCAUCGUUCGAGAUGACAGACGUACUGAUCGAAGGCGCGCGCAAUGCUGAAACAGCAGCUAGUAGCCAGCAACCACUUACUGACAUGGAGCGCACCCCAGUGCUUAUC
rnacentral:lncRNA from 1 species